ensembl:misc_RNA Metazoa_SRP Metazoan signal recognition particle RNA
GCCAGGCAUGGUGGCUCAUGUCUGUAAUCCCAGCACUUUGGGAGGCUGAGGCAGGCGGAUCACCUGAGGCCAGGAGUUUGAGACCAGCCUGGCCAACAUGGUGAGACCCUGUCUCUA